UACAGAGGGGGCAAGCGUUGGUCGGAAUUACUGGGCGUAAAGGGCGCGUAGGCGGCCGCCUAAGUCAGACGUGAAAUCCCUCGGCUCAACCGGGGAACUGCGUCUGAUACUGGGUGGCUUGAAUCCGGGAGAGGGAUGCGGAAUUCCAGGUGUAGCGGUGAAAUGCGUAGAUAUCUGGAGGAACACCGGUGGCGAAGGCGGCAUCCUGGGCCGACACUGACACUGAGGAGCGAAAGCCAGGGGAGCAAACGGG
rnacentral:rRNA from 1 species